GGGAAAACUGCUGGAGGAGCCUCAGUGACCCGUGGCAGGGCUGACAUCCCUGAGCUCUGUGUUGUUAACCUAAUCCAGAACACAGUAGUGAAGGGAACUCUGGGUCAAAUCCGUUAUGGCGGAAAGAGAGAACAUUAUGAAGACUGGCUUCCCAGGUUUGAGACCCAGCUCUGCCACUUCCUGGCUUUGUCAACAGAGGACAGACAAGGGGAGAGAGUGCUUACCCUGAAGCGGUGUGAGAGCCAAGCAGGAAACACGAAAUGGAAAGUGUGAGUGAUUCUUGCCAGCGGAGGAUGCGAGACAACGGAUUUCAAAGAGUGGCUCUGAAGAUUCAAACUACCUAGGUGUGAAUCCUGCGUGUCCUUGAGCAUCUGGGGAUGAUAAUAGUACCUGCCUCAUUGAGAGAAGGUGCAUGUAACGCUGUUAGCAGGGUGCCUGGCGUGUGGUAGAUGUUCAAUAAACUGCGUAUGUUUUCUGAUAA